UGAGGAAUAUUGGUCAAUGGGCGAGAGCCUGAACCAGCCAUCCCGCGUGCAGGAUGACGGCCCUACGGGUUGUAAACUGCUUUUCUGCAAGAAGAAUGGUCAUUACGUGUAGUGAUUUGACGGUAUUGCAGGAAUAAGCAUCGGCUAACUCCGUGCCAGCAGCCGCGGUAAUACGGAGGAUGCAAGCGUUAUCCGGAUUCAUUGGGUUUAAAGGGUGCGUAGGCGGCUAUAUAAGUCAGUGGUGAAAUGCUGCAGCUCAACUGUAGAACUGCCAUUGAAACUGUAUAGCUUGAGUGCGCCUGAGGUAGGCGGAAUGAGUAGUGUAGCGGUGAAAUGCUUAGAUAUUACUCAGAACACCGAUUGCGAAGGCAGCUUAGUAAAGCGUAACUGACGGUGAUGCACGAAAGCGUGGGGAG
rnacentral:rRNA from 1 species